CACAGCAGAUACUGAUAUCGAAGAAGAAAUUUCUUCUCUGAUGACAAGUAUAAAGGAUGAAGUAUGUAAAUUCAUAAAGCACGCGUCAAAGAAAAAUUAUCUAUCAGGGAUUCGCACCGGCGUCUUUCUUUGUUUCCUCAUUAGUGACAUUUGUUUUUUCAUCUUUUUCGUUUUCUGCAAUAGAUCAAACAUGGUUAACACACGUGUAAAGUUACAACAAACAAAAUAAAGAAACAACGUAUCUUUCAAA